CGGUUGAUCCUGCCGGAGGCCACUGCUAUGGGGGUCCGACUAAGCCAUGCGAGUCAUGGGGCGCCUUGCGCGCACCGGCGGACGGCUCAGUAACACGUCGGUAACCUACCCUCGGGAGGGGGAUAACCCCGGGAAACUGGGGCUAAUCCCCCAUAGGCCUGAGGUACUGGAAGGUCCUCAGGCCGAAAGGGGCUUUGCCCGCCCGAGGAUGGGCCGGCGGCCGAUUAGGUAGUUGGUGGGGUAACGGCCCACCAAGCCGAAGAUCGGUACGGGCCAUGAGAGUGGGAGCCCGGAGAUGGACACUGAGACAAGGGUCCAGGCCCUACGGGGCGCAGCAGGCGCGAAAACUCCGCUAUGCGCGUAAGCGCGACGGGGUCACCCCGAGUGCCACCCGCUGAGGGUGGCUUUUCCCCAGUCUAAACAGCUGGGGGAAUAAGGGGAGGGCAAGCCUGGUGUCAGCCGCCGCGGUAAUACCAGCUCCCCGAGUGGUCGGGACGAUUAUUGGGCCUAAAGCGUCCGUAGCCGGCCUGGUAAGUCCCCUGUUAAAUCCAGCGAUCCAAUCGCUGGGCUGCAGGGGAUACUGCCAGGCUAGGGGGCGGGAGAGGCUGGCGGUAUUCCCGGGGGAGGGGUGAAAU
rnacentral:rRNA from 1 species